rnacentral:rRNA from 1 species
CCUACGGGUGGCUGCAGUGGGGAAUAUUGGGCAAUGGGCGCAAACCUGACCCAGCAACGCCGCGUGAAGGAAGAAGGCUUUCGGGUUGUAAACUUCUUUUGACAGGGAAGAGUAGAAGACGGUACCUGUCGAAUAAGCCACGGCUAACUACGUGCCAGCAGCCGCGGUAAUACGUAGGUGGCAAGCGUUGUCCGGAUUUACUGGGUGUAAAGGGCGUGUAGCGGGGUUGAAAAGUCAGAGGUGAAACCCGGCGGCUUAACCGCAGAACUGCAUUUGAAAUGGUUGAUCUUGAGUACUGGAGAGGCAGACGGAAUGCCUGGUGUAGCGGUGAAAUGCGUAGAGAUUAGGAGGAACACCAGUGGCGAAGGCGGUCUGCUGGACAGCAACUGACGGUGAGGCGCGAAAGCGUGGGGAGCAAACAGGAUUAGAUACCCGGGUAGUC